UACGGAGGAUCCAAGCGUUAUCCGGAUUUAUUGGGUUUAAAGGGUGCGUAGGCGGACAGGUAAGUCCGUGGUGAAAUCCUGCAGCUUAACUGCAGAACUGCCAUGGAUACUAUCUAUCUUGAAUGUCGUGGAGGUUAGCGGAAUAUGUCAUGUAGCGGUGAAAUGCUUAGAGAUGACAUAGAACACCCAUUGCGAAGGCAGCUAACUACGCGAUAAUUGACGCUGAUGCACGAAAGCGUGGGGAUCAAACAGG
rnacentral:rRNA from 1 species